rnacentral:rRNA from 1 species
UACGAAGGGGGGCUAGCGUUGUUCGGAAUUACUGGGCGUAAAGCGUGCGCAGGCGGCUUCUCAAGUCAGGGGUGAAAGCCCAGAAGCCUCAGCUCUGGAAUUGCCUUUUGAGACUGAGUGGCUUGAGUACGAGAGAGGUGAGUGGAAUUCCCAGUGUAGAGGUGAAAAUUCGUAGAUAUCGGGGAGGAAACACCUGUGGCGAAAGCGGCUCACUGGACCACAACUGACGCUGAGGCGCGAAGCUAGGGGAGCAAAACAGG